ACGGAAGGCAGCAGUGGGGAAUAUUGCACAAUGGAGGAAACUCUGAUGCAGCAACUCCGCGUGAAGGAUGAAGGUCUUCGGAUUGUAAACUUCUGUCCUUAGGGAAGAUAAUGACGGUACCUUUGGAGGAAGCCCCGGCUAACUACGUGCCAGCAGCCGCGGUAAUACGUAGGGGGCAAGCGUUAUCCGGAAUUAUUGGGCGUAAAGGGUGCGUAGGUGGUUACCUAAGCAGGGGGUGAAAGGCAUUGGCUUAACCAAUGUUAGCCCCCUGAACUGGGCUACUUGAGUACAGGAGGGGAAAGUGGAGUUCCUAGUGUAGCGGUGAAAUGCGUAGAUAUUAGGAGGAACACCGGUGGCGAAGGCGACUUUCUGGACUGUUACUGACACUGAGGCACGAAAGUGUGGGGAGCAAACAGGAUUAGAUACCCUGGUA
rnacentral:rRNA from 1 species